rnacentral:rRNA from 1 species
UAUGGAGCUUUAGACCUAAUGCAGUCCACGAAUAAAUACUUUUGAUAAAGAAAGAAAAGCUCAAUGGCUCCUGCACGCCUGUCUUUGGUUGGGGCGACCGCGGGGAAAAAUAAAACCCCCAUGAGGAUUGAGAGUUCUACUCCUAAAACCAAGAGCCACAGCUCUAAGUAACAGAAAUUCUGACCUAAAUGAUCCGGGAAACCGAUCAACGAACCGAGUUACCCUA